GAUCCUGGCUCAGGAUGAACGCUGGCGGCGUGCUAACACAUUCAAGUCGAACGAAGUUAUUGUGAAUGAAGUCUUCGGAUGGAAUUUACUUUAACUUAGUGGCGGACGGGUGAGUAACGCGUGAGCAACCUGCCUUUGCAUUUGGGAUAACAGUUGGAAACGGCUGCUAAUACCGAAUAACGUAUACGGGUCGCAUGGCCUGUAUACCAAAGAUCCGUUGUGCAAAGAUGGGCUCGCGUCCGAUUAGGUAGUUGGUGAGGUAACGGCCCACCAAGCCGACGAUCGGUAGCCGACCUGAGAGGGUGAUCGGCCACAUUGGGACUGAGACACGGCCCAAACUCCUACGGGAGGCAGCAGUGGGGAAUAUUGCACAAUGGGGGAAACCCUGAUGCAGCGACGCCGCGUGAAGGAAGAAGUAUUUCGGUAUGUAAACUUCUAUCAGCAGGGAAGAAAAUGACGGUACCUGACUAAGAAGCCCCGGCUAACUACGUG
rnacentral:rRNA from 1 species